GCGUUCAGUUCACAUCAAGGAUGGGUAUGCACUGGCGGAAAAGCUUACCAUUGCCCAGAAGAUAUCACAGGCCAUUCAAUGUGAGCACCAAGAAGAAAGGGUAUAUCCAUCCUAUUUUUCUCUAAGACUACAGUCUUGGCCUCUGUCUCUGUCUGCCUCCAGAGAGAGAUUUAGCUUUUGAUCACCUCCAACAAACAACAUCCUUUAGGAUAUUGAAACUGACAAAAGACAGCCUACAAAAUCCUAUGGUUUACAUUAAAAGUCUGAAGGCAUUGCCAUGUUCCGGAUCUGGGGGUUAACAGUGCAUGACGAAGCACAUACCCUCAGUAAGAAUUUAAUUUAGCUCGAAUAUGAAGGGAUGCUUUAUGAGACAAACUGGCAGCAGUUCCAUGGGGUGAGCAGAGAAGUGAGACUAUAAAACAGAAGACAAUUUGCUAUUUCUAAAUUGCUCCCUCUCAAAAACUGUGGUGGGUGUCUUAAAAUCAUCUCGUAUAUCCUUUUACCCAGUAAUCUCAAUUCUAGGAAUGUAUUCUAACAAAAUAAUUGGGCAAGUCCACAAGGAGGUAUGUGGACUACUGUUUAUAUCAUGCCUUUGUUUAUAAUAGGAAAAAAAAACCAACAGAAAAACAAAGGUCCAUCAGUAGGAAAUAAAGUAUUGAUUAGGCAUAUAAUGAAAUUAUAUGCAACUUUUAGAAUGCUGAAAAAGUAUAGUACAUUAGACUUCAGACAUCAGCAUUUAGUUUAGUAUACUAUACUAUUAAGUAAAACAGUUUUAAAAUAGAUUUUAUAAAAUAUCUUUGUUUUAAAACAAAGUGUGUUGUAAGAAUAGAAAAGAACUAGAAUAUACAAUAAAAUGUUAAUUAUCGUGUUUUCUGGUUAGUAAAAUUAAAUGUAAUUUUUUUUUUUUGAGACAGAGUCUCGUUCUUUCGCCCAGGCUGGAGUGCAGUGGCACGAUCUCAGCUCACUGCAAGCUCCACCUCCCAGGUUCACACCAUUCUCCUGCCUCAGCCUCCCAAGUAGCUGGGACUACAGGUGCCCGCCACCAUGCCUGGCUAAUUUUUUGUAUUUUUAGUAGAGACAGGGUUUCACCAUGUUAGCCAGGAUGGUCUCGAUCUCCUGACCUCAUGAUCCACCCACCUCGGCCUCCCAAAGUGCUGGGAUUACAGGUGUGAGCCACUGCGCCUGGCCAAAAUGUAAUUUUUACCUUCUUUAUGAUUUUUUGCAUGGUCUAAAUUUUCUUCACUGAGCAGGCAACAUAUUGGGACCCCCACAUAUACAAAAAGAAGCUAUUUAUUUUAAGAGAAUAAUAACAAAACCAUAAAGAUGUCUAAAGGAGGAAAGACAAAUUGCCAGAGCUGGACAGAGGUCAAAGUGACAAUCCAAGCAAAUAACCCCAAACUCUGACAGCCAAGGAGGGUCAGCACCCUUUCACUUUUUUCAAAAGACGUCUUAUACUGAGCAACUACUCUGUUCUAGGCCUUGUUCCGGGUCUUGGAGACAGAAAUAAAUGGGACACAAUUUCCUGCCCUCAAGGUUUUCAGCCUAAUUGGAGGAAAGGACAGAUUUACCAAAUAAAUGAAAUGCUCUACUGGGGAAGGGCAAAGUACAGUGAUGCUUAGGGGGAAGGGGCUGAUUCCACCUGGCUGGCAGAAUGGGGAGACAGGGGCUGAUCAGAAAAAGUGUCAGAGGAGGUAUUGUGGGCUGAGAGUCUAAAGGCGAAUGGAUGCCCUUCCAAAGCUCACAGGCCAUGCAGGUGAGCUUUGAGGACAGUCUCCCCAGGCAUUUGGGUUGAUGUGAGCAGCUGAGGGAAAAGGGAUGGGCAUUGAGCAGCCUAAUCUUCUUGAGGGGGAACAGAAGCACAGAUGAAAUAUGGGGUGAGGAGUAAGGCUAGGGAGUAGGCAGGCCCACAGUAUGGAGGGCCUGGAAUGCCCCUACUGAAGCAUCUGGUUUCCAACCUGAGGGCACAGGGGAACCUCUGAAGGGUCUGCACCUUCCCAAGAUUAAUCAGCCGGACAACAGUGUAGAGAAGUAAGCACUACUGGGCCUUAUCUGGAUGCCUGCCGUGGACUAGCCACUGGGCUUAGCACACAACGGCCCUAGACAGUGGAGAGUGUUGUUAUCUCUAUUUUACGGGUGAGAAAACUGGAACUCAGCGUGGUUUAGGAAUUUGCCCAAGUUCUCACAGAUAAGAAGUGGCAGAGCUCAGAGCUCAGAGUUCAUCCUGGCUAUCUGACUCACCCUCAGGUUCGGUGCUGUGAAGACGCCACGGUGAAUCUAAAAUAGUUUUCUCCCGAGUUCUCCAUGAUAUUUACAAACAACCUCAAACUCAACCACUCAAUUCCUACUAAGAGGAACUUGGUUGACGUGCAGCAAAUGGGUUAUGGGGAGAGCUUUCUCAGCCACAAAAUUAGAACUUUAUGAAAAAAAACCUGGAAGAAAGUAAGGUGAGACUGGAUCUGUCAAGGGGCUUUAUUUUUUUGAACUCAAGAGAAACCAUUAGGGAGUAGGCAAUUUGUUUUUGCUUUUUUUUACAUAAGUAGACACAGGUGGGAAACUGUUUAGACGGGCUCACAUCACCCCAUAAACAAAUAGGUUUGGUCCUAGCCUUUCUAUUAGCUCUUAGUAAGAUUACACAUGCAAGCAUCCCCAUUCCAGUGAGUUCACC
rnacentral:lncRNA from 1 species